GAUGAAGAACGUAGCGAAAUGCGAUAAGUAAUGUGAAUUGCAGAAUUCAGUGAAUCAUCGAAUCUUUGAACGCACAUUGCGCCUGCCAGUAUUCUGGCGGGCAUGCCUGUUCGAGCGUCAUUUCAACCAUCAAGCCCCCGGGCUUGUGUUGGGGACCUGCGGCUGCCGCAGGCCCUGAAAAGCAGUGGCGGGCUCGCUGUCACACCGAGCGUAGUAGAUUUUAUCUCGCUCUGGGCGUGCUGCGGGUUCCGGCCGUUAAACCACCCUUUUAACCCAAGGUUGACCUCGGAUCAGGUAGGAAGACCCGCUGAACUUAAGCAUAUCAAUAAGCGGAGGA
rnacentral:misc_RNA from 1 species